ensembl:antisense
GGGUGUGCACACGCGCGCUCCAGGAAUGAUGCGUGUGGCAGGAGGGCGGCGUUAUACACCUGUGGUCCCAGGACUAGGAGGCCGACACAGGCGUGUUAGAUGCCAACCUGGGCACUACAGCUGGCUGAGGACUCCCUCCUAAGCUCUCCAGCUCAUCUCUGCCACCAUCCCAACCCGUCCACGACAGACACAGUAGGGCUACCAUCAUCACCUCUGAUGUAAACAGAAGCACUGGGUACUUCACCAAACAGGAACACACUCAGUGUCCGUCUUCCUGCUAGUUCUUUACUUACUGGCACUGGGGAUUCAACUCUGGACCUUCGGCUUGCAGACCAAGUGUUCUACCACUCAACUACAACCCAAUCACCGUAGUUUUGUUUUCAGACAGGGUCUUAUGUAGUCCAGGCUAGCCUUGAAUUAUGUAGCCACAAGAACCUUGAACUAAUCUUCUAUCUCCAAACUGCCAGGAUUACAGGCAUGUACCAUUAUGCCUGGCUUCCUGCCUCAGCCUCCUGAGUGCUGGGAUUACAGAUGUUUGCUGAGGGAAAAUGGCCAGAAAAUCCUCAUUCCUACGUUUGUUCCUUAGAAAGGCUGUUGGGGCAGGUAAUCCAGCUCCUGCACAGUUCUGCUGAGAGCCACAUAUCUGCUGCAAUUAAUUUAAAAAAGAUACAGAGUAUUAUUAAAUGUAUAUUUUAAUAAAGCCAAGUUAUUUUACUUAUAGGAGCUUUAAAAGUAAGAUACAAAAUGUAGAGUUCCAGUUUGGAAGGUCACAACUAUUCACAUGAUGUCCUGCUAAUGCCGAGCAAGGCAGCCAUGCUUGGCCGUGCUGAGGACACACUCACACGCAUACAUGCGCUUUGGCAAGACACCUCUGCCAAGCGCAGCACCUGGAAUCACCAGUGUUUAGAGCAAGGUGGUGCUUCGAACAGCACCCAUGUGGAGACUACACAAGCUGAUUCACACGGUCACACAGCCGUGGAGACAAAUAUCUUCCUUAAUAGAGAAAGACAGACCAGAGAUGACAAUUAGCAGUGUCACCUGUGCUGUGGCACCGAGGAGUGACCUUGGCCCAAGGUGAGGUCUUCAGGGAGGCACUAUGAAAAUGAGAGUACUGCAGAAGACUAGAACUGGAAACACAGCACUGUGGACACAUUACUGAAGGAAAUACACAGUUUUUACAAGUCAAACAGCCACAAGGAACUCUGAACAGAUUAGUGUGCACACUGUGACAGCUAACACAGACAACAGCCACGCAGGGCUGGUGCAAAGUACGUGCCUGGAAAACUCUAUGUACAAAAUAGUUCUCUGUAAACAUGGUGAGGUGAAUAUUCCGAACCCACUGAGAAGGAUCUUCACUACAGGCAGAAAUGUCACCCCCACACAGCACGAAUGACAACAGCUGAGGCCUCAGGCAGCCUGGAGACACAGUACUAAAAACGCAGGUGGCUGGGCUCACCCUACAGGUCCUCUAUAAUUUUCUUAUAAGUGAAUGUGUGUCUGUGUGUGUGUAUGUGUGUGGUGUGUAUACAUAGGGAUUUUUUUUUUUUGGUAUUUUUAAAUAUAAAUUUAUCUGUAGAAAAAUGAGAACAAAAAUGUGUUAUUACAAUCUUCAUUGGAAAAGCUUACAUGGAGUUAGAAAGAAUAAACCAUUUAUUAGUAGUUAACAUAUAUUAAAAUGGUUUAAUGAUUUAAGAAAAUAUAAAAAAAUUAAUACUGUCAAACUUUCAUACCAGAAAAUAUCAUGGAUUUUUCUCAAUUAGACAUUUUCAAAGAUGAAAUAUGAAAAUUUUAAAUAAGUUUUAUAUAAAGAACCUUCUGCAACCUCAAUUAAUAUAUNNNNNNNNNNNAGUGGGAAAUGUCUACUCUAUAUAGAUAUAUUUAUUAUUUCUCAAUUUAAGCACCAUUCAAUUCUGGAUCCAUUCUAGCUGGAAAAUAUCCCCAAAUCCAUGGAGUGUCAUCUGUUUAAUGGCACACAUUAACUAAAAGUGAGGUGUUGUUGGUGACUAAACAAAGAUUUUGAAUUCCUGUCUACAUCAUAAUUCCUUUGUCUCUGAGUCAGCUCACAAUGUCACUGUGGUUCUGAGUGUGGGGGUCUUGGUGCAACCCCUCCCCUCCACAGUUCCUUCCGUAGAGGAGCGUGGUGCUGGUGCUGCCCUGGUCAUGGUGGAAGGAAGUGAGGGCAGCAGGUGCACUCAGCAUGCACCAGCUGCACCCCCUGGGAGGCCAGAAUAUGCCUGACAGCAGUUGCCCAAUCCCGCUCUUGUACAUUACAUGAGCCUGCACCCCUGGGUGCUUCAGAGGAGCUACUGACCCAUGGGAAGCCAGGUGGUUGCUUCUGAUCACUAGCAUCUUAUAUAAGCUUAAAUGAAGACAGUGCUGAGCUAACUAACCUUCAGCCAGUGUACCUGGAUCUUAAGAUAGCCACUGCAUUUUAGGCAGGAGACGUUUUAACCGAAAGCCUACAUGAAAAAUAUCUAUAAAAUUAGUGAUGGGUGUGGGUCCCACUCAGUGUGUUAAAGAGAAGAGUUUCAAAGAAUGGUCAGUUUUGUUCUCAGCCUGCAGGCCUCAUGCCUUUCCCACAUGCAGGACUACCUUCAGACUGUGUUUUCCCAAGUGUGGCCUCUGGCCACCUGCACCAGGAUUACCUGAGGUGCUUAUUAAGCAUGCAGAUUGCCAGCAUCCCCUGAGUGUCAGAAAUCUCCAUCUUCAGCUGGCUCUCAGGGGUCUGCUACCUUCAAAGUUUGAGAAACCAGGCUUUAAAGACUUGGAGCUGCCAAUCACCUCAGACCCAAGGAAUAUUUCUGUCCCUGGGACAGGGUGUACUGGUCCUUCUGGGGGCUAGUAUCAGCUAGUUAGCCUUGGGGACAGUUGCCCCAACAGCUUUGAUGGGCAGCAGGCUAGCUGUAGUCAGUACUGGGGCAAAUAGGCUGGCCUACGUUCAGCCUUCCCAGGGAAGGCCUUGAAGCCCUUGGGUGCUGCCUUAUGUGCUGGUGGAGGUGGGGGCUGUGGUGGUGUCUGAACAUAGGUGAAGGAGGUGGUAUUGCAGUCAUUGGCUGCAGCCCACACAGGGGACUGCAGCAUCUGCAUGGUGUCGUUCCACUGGCUGCCAGGACUGGCGACUGCAUAGAGUGGUGCAACUGGGCUGGGCAGCGUGCUGGGCAUCGGGGAAGGGUGCUGCCAUGGUGCUUUGGGUGGCCACGUUUUGGUUUUGUUAUCCUGGGAAACAGAAGAGAGAUUUUAGGUUUAGAGGUUUUAGAGGUUUUGGUUGAGUUUUCAUUGUGUGCCAGCCCACCUAACUCCCAGAACUCCAACUCUUUCUACCUAGUGGACAGAGUGAGAACAGCUGCCCACAGCUUGGUACAGUGAUAUCAGUGCUCAAUGCCUGCACAAUCCACACAGCAUUCUUGCAGCCCAACUGUGGAGAUGAACUUGUGUUUCUGCACAUAUACACUUACAUGUGUGUACAACUUUCAUAGUUCAAUAUUUACAGGACCUCCCACCACUCAUACAGCCACAGCCCUUACUUUAACUGAUCUGAACAGUGAGUGUGCUGUGUGACUCAUAUUAACACAGUCUCAGAGCUUCCUCUACAACAUGGCUGGGUCAGCUAAGGUGACCAUAUCUCCCCAUUUAGACAAAAAUCACGAGAAAAUAAUUCAGCACAGAGACAACCCUUAUGACUUUGAGAUCCAAGGUCUUUACCAUGAGCUAGCUCACAAUACCUGGUUCACGUCCUCCACUGUGGUCAGGAGAGGUGGUGAGGGCAGUGUGCUGGUCUCCUGCUCUCCACUGCUGUGUUUCCUGAAAGAAUCAAGAGCUCAGGGCAUUGACCACUUGGCAUCAUUGUAUGGGACAGAGUUAAUCUCUGUGCUUGGCUCUGGUCUCUAGGUCCCCAGUCUAGGUGUUGAGCCCUUGGGUACACCAGGGUCAGUAUGACCUGGGAGGCAGCAUCCCUGUCUGUAAAGCCUGUAUAGGAAGUGGGUGGGAGCUGCAGCCAGCAUGGAGAUGGCACUGGCUGUUUGCACAGCUAAGUUAACCCCCUUUAGCUUUUUAUUAAUUUAAUCAAUAGUUACUCAAAGUGUUUAACAUGCACUCGGUAUGUUUGGGAUUUAAAAAAAAUACUUUGUGAUGGAUAUGAUCAAUAUAUAUUGUAUACACGUAUGAAACUUUCAAAAAUAAAAUAUUC